AGAGAAUGUUUCAUUGCAGUGUUUCUCAACCUUUUUGAGAUCAGAAACCAGCUUGCUGUCUUCCUAAACCAUGUCAAGGAGAUCUCAGUGACUGGUUCCAAAUCAACAGACCAAUCAUUGAGAAACACUGGCCUAGUGGAUACAGCACUGCACUGGGACUCAGAA